AUACGUAGGUGGCAAGCGUUGUCCGGAAUGACUGGGCGUAAAGGGUGCGUAGGCGGCCGAUCAAGUUAGAAGUGUAAUACCCGGGCUCAACUUGGGUGCUACUUCUAAGACUGAUUGGCUUGAGUGUGGGAGAGGUAAGCGGAAUUCCUAGUGUAGCGGUGAAAUGCGUAGAUAUUAGGAGGAACACCAGCGGCGAAGGCGGCUUACUGGACCAUAACUGACGCUGAGGCACGAAAGCGUGGGGAGCAAACAGGAUUAGAUACCCUGGUAGUCCACGCUGUAAACGAUGGAUACGAGGUGUAGGGGGUAUCGACGCCCCCUGUGCCGACGCAAACGCAAUAAGUAUCCCGCCUGGGGAGUACGGCCGCAAGGCUAAA
rnacentral:rRNA from 1 species